GUGUCAGCCGCCGCGGUAAUACGUAGGGUGCGAGCGUUAAUCGGAAUUACUGGGCGUAAAGCGUGCGCAGGCGGUUUUGUAAGACAGGUGUGAAAUCCCCGGGCUUAACCUGGGAACUGCGCUUGUGACUGCAAGACUCGAGUACGGCAGAGGGGGGUGGAAUUCCACGUGUAGCAGUGAAAUGCGUAGAGAUGUGGAGGAACACCGAUGGCGAAGGCAGCCCCCUGGGUCGAUACUGACGCUCAUGCACGAAAGCGUGGGGAGCAAACAGGAUUAGAAACCCUGGUAGUCC
rnacentral:rRNA from 1 species